ACCCUGAUCCGAUCUCAAAACGACUCAAUCAAACCUAUUAUUGCGGCCAACUCUCCAUCGUCUAUCAUCAGGAACGAACACCUGCAAAACAACAUCCGCACUUACCGGAUUUGUGUCCGACGGGAACCCUCUGAUGCUUAAAUUAGAAAAAAAAAUUGGUGAACAGUAGAUAUCAAUAUUCAAAGUAACAGAGUUCUGGCCAGAAGUGGCUUACCAGUCCUAUUUUCUUUAUCUCCUUUUAUAGACG
rnacentral:lncRNA from 1 species